CCAGAUCUGCCAGCCCCUCCCGUUAAGCCCCACCCGGGGGUCCCUGUGGCGGCUCCUGCACCGGACCAGCCUCGUGCACCCUGAGGUCGAGUUUCAUUUCUGUGUCAGCAUCGAUGGGAAGGUCACGUCCCGAACCCUCAGCCCCGAGCCCCCCUGGGCACAGGCGGGAACCAGGCUGAGGGUGCAGAGCCGGCACUUCACUGGGCCGCCCUGCAGCCGUCUCCGCCCGUGCCCGGGGCCGCCGCUGCCGCUGCCGGUACCGGCCCCGCUGGCGGCCGCGGGCUUCGGGGGGGACCUGCAGCUGCUCCCGGUCAGCGCCCUCAGCC